GCGCUCGUAGCUCAGCUGGAUAGAGUACUGCCCUCCGAAGGCAGGGGUCGGACGUUCGAAUCGUCUCGGGCGCGCCA
rnacentral:tRNA from 2 species